rnacentral:rRNA from 1 species
CCUACGGGAGGCAGCAGUGAGGAAUAUUGGUCAAUGGGCUGGAGCCUGAACCAGCCAAGUCGCGUGAGGGAAGACUGUCCUAUGGGUUGUAAACCUCUUUUGGCAGGGAGCAAUGCCGGCUACGCGUAGCCGGACGGAGAGUACCCGCAGAAAAAGCAUCGGCUAACUCCGUGCCAGCAGCCGCGGUAAUACGGAGGAUGCGAGCGUUAUCCGGAUUUAUUGGGUUUAAAGGGUGCGUAGGCGGAUUGCUAAGUCAGCGGUAAAAU